rnacentral:rRNA from 1 species
GCCUCCUCUACCGAUCGAUCUUUUAAUGAGCUUGUCGGAUUGGACCCGGGGAGCAGUCGUUGCCCUCCAUNUCCUCACGGGGUGGGCCUUCUUCUGCUAGCUUAGGUGUUUGCCGAGAAGAUCGGUCAUUAUCUGGAGUCCUAGGAAGAAGAUGUUAAUCAAUGUAUCCGGACUUCAACCUGCGGAUGGAUCAUUA